CCUACGGGUGGCAGCAGUGAGGAAUCUUUGUCCAUGGGCGGAAGCCUGAACCAGCCAAGUAGCGUGCGGGAUGAAGGCCCUACGGGUCGUAAACCGCUUUUGCACGGGGAUAACACCCUCCACUUGUGUCGGUCUGCAUGUACCGUGCGAAUAAGGGCCGGCUAAUUCCGUUCCAGCCGCCGCGGUAAUACGGAAGGCCCGAGCGUUAUCCGGUUUCCUUUGGCUUAAAGGGAGCGUAGGCGGGCGUUCAAGUCAGCUGUAAAAUCGCGCGGCGCAACCGCGCCCCGCAGUUGAAACUGGACGCCUUGAGUUCACAACAGGCAGGCGGAAUUCGUGGUGUAGCGGUGAAAUGCAUAGAUAUCACGAGGAACCCCGAUUGCGAAGGCAGCCUGCCGGGGUGCGACUGACGCUGAGGCUCGAAGGUGUGGGUAUCAAACAGGAUUAGAUACCCCAGUAGUC
rnacentral:rRNA from 1 species